rnacentral:lncRNA from 1 species
GGGUUAGGGUUAGGUAAGUCACGGUAACACGUCCUCUCUGUGCAGGCUGCCCGCCGUCCUGCAGCUUAAUGGCAGCGCGGUUCUGAGGAGAGCGCGAGGACGCAGAGAGGUUCUUCAUCCGGUACCACCUGGAGCGAGUGGACCAGGAGCCGCCUCAGAGGUACGCCGUCCUGGUGGCGAAGUACGGCGAGCUGGCUCCUCUGGCGGAGGUGGACCUGCGGCCGCGCUGCCCUCAGGUGGAGGUGCUGUGGGGGGAGCGAGUGGAGACCCUGGGGCUGUCGUUGGAGCAGACGGUAGGAGACCUGAGAAGACGCUGCGGUCUCUGCUGCAGCUUCCCGCCUCCGGCCUGCGCCUCUUCCACGUGGACCGCGAGAUGUGCCACGUCCUGGGCCCCGCAGAGAUGAGGUGCCCCAGCCGCGCCCUGCACUCCUACGGCAUCCGCGACGGAGACCAGAUCCUGGUGGUGCUGCGGGGCGCGGGGCGGAGCUCCUCAGGCCGCAGCUCCUCUGGCCGCAGCUCCUCAGGCACCGAGCGGAACGGCCCGGACCAGGCGACUGUGUGAAUGUAACGGAGCUGCUGUAAUAAAGACUCCACAAGAAGCUGCUCUUUCAGAUGUUCUAGAAUCAUUUAUAAAAUGUUACUUUGACUAGAUUCAAACAGAUGUUUAACAAACGACGGCGACUCAAACUUUAGUCCAACACUUUGUGGAAACGCCUUCAUCUAUAUUUGUCCAUUUGUUUAAGUUUCUGCCUUCGCUGCGUUCAGAGCCUCAUCCACCACUUUCUGUAAAUGAAGAACUAAAGCUCGUUCAGCUCCGUUAUUUAGAACGGGAGGAAAAGAAAAAUAGGACGAUGUUUUUCACAGGAGCCAGCGCCGUUUCCUCAGAGUGGCCCUUCUUCAUUUCACAGUCUGUCAUUCAGCAUUAACGUCUGUGCUGGAAUAUUCUAUUGUUCCUUUAGGGGACACUGACUCUCCCCCUGUGUCUCCCUGUGACUCUCCCCUGUCCCGGGACGACCCUCUUGGCCCCUCCCCCGGGUCUGCGGCUCAUGUUACAACAGCAAACCUUCUGUCGGAGGGGGCGGCGCAGGAGGGUAACCUCACACCAGCGCGAGGCCCGGGCACUUCCGUGGCCCCUGGAUCAGAACGACCUCCGCUCCCUCCUGAGUAAGUGAGAGGGCACUACAGUGACGUCACGGACUCUUCCUUUGGGAAACCCCUCACGCUAAGACGCUCCAACACGCUAACACGAGAGCGAGACGUGACGGCGACAGACGGAAACCUGUCUAAUG